ACGCUAGCGUUUUACCCUGUCCAGUUCUGGCUCGACCAACCAAAUCAGACCCGUCAUAUACGGUGUCAAACGUCAUAGCCUGAAUCGGAAACAAGGAGCUAAUACCCUUCUCCUUCAGCCUAGCCCUCAGCGGUUCGGAAAUCCGAAACCUAGUAACAGCAUUCGGAUCCUCAGCCUCCUUCUCCACAUCGUCUUCUUCAGACUCAACCACUUUAACCUUCUUCGAGCUCUUCUUCUCCUUUCCGCUUUUCAACCCUGAAUUCACAGGCUCGCCCAACUCCGAGCUCGUCUCACUCCUAUCCUCGUCGUCAG
rnacentral:misc_RNA from 1 species